rnacentral:rRNA from 1 species
UUUUGGACAAUGGGGGCAACCCUGAUCCAGCAAUGCCGCGUGAGUGAAGAAGGCCUUCGGGUUGUAAAGCUCUUUUGUCAGGGAAGAAACACCGGCUCUAACACAGUCCGGGAAUGACGGUACCUGAAGAAUAAGCACCGGCUAACUACGUGCCAGCAGCCGCGGUAAUACGUAGGGUGCAAGCGUUAAUCGGAAUUACUGGGCGUAAAGCGUGCGCAGGCGGUUAUACAAGACAGGCGUGAAAUCCCCGGGCUUAACCUGGGAAUGGCGCCUGUGACUGUAUAGCUAGAGUGUGUCAGAGGGGGGUAGAAUUCCACGUGUAGCAGUGAAAUGCGUAGAUAUGUGGAGGAAUACCAAUGGCGAAGGCAGCCCCCUGGGAUAACACUGACGCUCAUGCACGAA